CACUGAGGCCGAAAUGUCAGCAUGGGUCAGUUGCGAAACAGGGUUUCUCUGACAAAAAUGCUUCUGUCUCGAAAUCGGAAUAUCACAGAAAGAACAUUUCAACGCAGAUUUAUUCCAGAGACACGACAUCAUCCAAUGACACUUAACUAAGAAAUUGAGUGAUUAGACAAACCAGUCAGAUGUCAGAAAAUAUACAUCACAAAAAAGUAUGUUCUAGGGCGCCGUCAUGGCCGACACCUGUGUGCCCUAUCUGAGCUUGUUUAUCCGUUACAUCAAGCAGCCUGGCAAACAGCUGUGAACACCCGUCUCUUUCUGCUUGGUCCAAGAAGGACACGUUGAGGCUGAAACGACAAGUUUGUGACAGCCCCUGCAGGAUUGCCACCGCGCUGAAACUCCGAGGCUGUCCGCGGCUGGAACGCCGCUGCGUCACACUGUGAAGAAAAAAAUCACAUGGAGAUGAACUUUACAGAAACGUUCAGCAUCACAUAAGUUCGUCCGUAACUGACAUUCAAGCUGGAUAACGUUACCUUGGCUGUGUCUUGGUUAGUUUAGCAGUUCUUGCGUCCGGUGGUAAGUC